AAUAGAAAAGAAGAGCAACAUACCGGUGUACGACGACAGUUGAUGAUAUGCGAUCCGGCGAGCAAUUCUGAUGGCCUUUGGCGACUGGUGUGCAGUGGGUUUGCUGCUUCGGAUUCGCAGGUCUGCGGUCUGAGCUUGAUGGUCGUGACAGUUUUGUCAGAAGAGGUUGGAGCGACAUGGAGGAAAAACAGCUGCGGCAGUAUAGAUCAUAGAAAUGCUCGCAAACUGAAUUUCGUAGCGAUUGUGGUGGUGCAAUAA